rnacentral:ncRNA from 2 species
GCUUAAUAAGGCCAUGAUGUCUGCCCUGAACCGCUUGAUAAAGCUGAUGACGUCUACUCCGAU